rnacentral:lncRNA from 1 species
GAGAUGGAGUCUCCUCCAGGCUGGAGCGCAAUGGCGCAAGCUCGGCUCACUGCAACCUCCGCCUCCUGGGUUCAAGCAAUUCUCCUGCCUCAGCCUCCUGAGUAGCUGGGAUUAUAGGCACCCACCACCACGCCCAGCUAAUUUUUUGUAUUUUUUUGUAGAGAUGGGGUUUCAUCACGUCAGCCUCCCAGAGUGCUGGGAUUACAGACAUGAGCCACCACGCCUGGCCAAUAAUAGUAUUUUACAAACUGUAUACUCUAGCAUUCUAAGAAUGAAAAAGUUCUAAGAGUUCCGUAACCAUUUUAAUUUCAUUGCUCAUAUGAAGAAAAAACAAGGUUAAGUCAAAGGCUGAUGAACUGAGAUGUUUUCUUACUAGACCCAUUUAAAGAGAUACACUAAUAGCCAGGACAAUCCUAAGCAAAAAGAACAAAGCUGGAGGCAUCACACGUACUACCUGACUUCAAACUAUACUACAAGGCUACAGUAACCAAAACAGCAUGCUACUGGUACCAAAACAGACACACAGACCAAGGGAACAGAACAGAGACCUCAGAAAUAACACCACAUAUCUACAAACAUCUGAUCUUCAACAAACCUGACAAAAACAAGCAAUGGGGAAAGGAUUCCUUAAUUAAUAAAUGGUGCUCAAAAAACUGGUUAGCCAUAUGCAGAAAACUGAAACUGGACCCCUUCCUUACACCUUAUACAAAAAAUAAGUCAAGAUGGAUUAAAGACUUACAUGUAAAACCCAAAACCAUAAAAAUCCUAGAAGAAAACCUAGGCAAUACCAUUCAGGCAUGGGCAAAGAUUUCUUGAUGAAAAUGCCAAAAGCAACUGCAUCAAAAGCUAAAAUUGACAAGUGGGAUCUAAUUAAACUCAAGAGUUUCUGCACAGCAAAAUAAACUAUCAUCAGAGUGAACAUGCAACCUACAGAACGGGAAAAAAAAACCAUCAAAAAGUGGGCAAAGGAUAUGAACAGACACUUCUCAAAAGAAGACAUUUAUGUGGCCAAAAAACAUAUGAAAAAAAGCUCAACAUCACUGAUCAUUAGAGAAAUGCAAAUCAAAACCACAAUGAGAUACUAUCUCACACCAGUCAGAAUGGCGAUUAUUAUAAAGUCAAGAAACGAAAGAUGCUGGCAAGGCUGUGGAGAAAUAGGAAUGCUUUUACACGAUUGGUGGGAAUAUAAAUUAGUUCAACCAUCAUGGAAGAUAGUGUGGUGAUUCCUCAAGAAUCUAGAAGCAGAAAUACCAUUUGACCCAGCAAUCCCAUUACUGGGUAUAUACCCAAAGGAAUAUAAAUCAUUUUGCUAUAAAGACACAUGCACACAUGUUUACUGCAGCACUAUUUACAACAGCAAAGACAUGGAACCAACCCAAAUGCCUAUCAAUGACAGACUGGAUAAAGAAAAUGUGGUACACAUACACCAUGGAAUACUAUGCAGCCAUAAAAAGGAAUGAGAUCAUGUCCUUUGUGGCGACAUGGAUGAAGCUAGAAGCCACCAUCCUCAGCAGACUAACACAGGAACAGAAAACCAAGCACCGCAUGCUCUCACGCAUAACUGGGAGUUGAACAAUGAGAACACAUGGACCACAGGGAGGGGAACAACACACACCCGGGCCUGUUGGUGGGGGUGGGGGUUGAGGGGAGGGAGAGCAUCAGGACAAAUAGCUAAUGCGUGUGGAGCUUAAAACCUAGGUGAUGACUUGAUAGGUGCAGCAAACCACCAUGGCACACAUUUACCUAUGUAACAAACCUGCACAUUCUGCACAUGUAUCCCGGAACUUAAAGUAAAAUAAAAAUUAAAAAAAAAAAAAGAUACACUGAAAAGGCUAAGCUUGCAUAUUCAGGGCAGCAAUGGAGAUAACAUGCAUUCCUCUAAAAGGUCCAGGGGCCCAACAAAUCUGAGAUGUCUGCAGGGCUGUUGAAGGCUCUGGGAAGGUAACACAAAAGACCAGGCAGUAUCAAGCAUGACACCACCAGAAGCACACAUGGAGUCAUCCUUAGUACCCUCCUCCAAAAGACAUCUCUCACACCACCCCGGGCUAUACUGUUUUAGAUAACAAGAUGAAACUAUAUAGUCUUGGGAGAGAAUGUGAUUAAAAUUUAUUUCCAGGGCAGAGAUAUACAGGGGAUCAUUCCCUAAGCUGCAGCCACAGGAUAUCAAUCAAGUCUCAAACAGGUAACAAGGCUUCCUAAUUUUUUUUUGAAACGGAUCUCACUCUGUCACCCAGGCUGGAGUGCAGUGGCGCGAUCUCGGCUCACUGCAACCUCCGCCUCCCGGUGAUUCUCCUGCCUCAGCCUCCCGAGUAGCUGGGAUCACAGGCGCGCGCCACCACGCCCGGCUAAUUUUUGUAUUCUUGUAGAGACGGUGUUUCACCAUGUUGGCCAGGCCGGUCUCAAACUCCU